ACGGAAGGCAGCAGUAGGGAAUAUUGCACAAUGGGGGAAACCCUGAUGCAGCGACGCCGCGUGAGUGAUGAAGUAUUUCGGUACGUAAAGCUCUAUCAGCAAGGAAGAAAAUGACGGUACUUGACUAAGAAGCCCCGGCUAACUACGUGCCAGCAGCCGCGGUAAUACGUAGGGGGCAAGCGUUAUCCGGAUUUACUGGGUGUAAAGGGAGCGUAGACGGCAUAGCAAGUCUGAAGUGAAAUGCAUGGGCUCAACCCAUGAACUGCUUUGGAAACUGUUAAGCUAGAGUGCAGGAGAGGUAAGUGGAAUUCCUAGUGUAGCGGUGAAAUGCGUAGAUAUUAGGAGGAACACCAGUGGCGAAGGCGGCUUACUGGACUGUAACUGACGUUGAGGCUCGAAAGCGUGGGGAGCAAACAGGAUUAGAUACCCUGGUA
rnacentral:rRNA from 1 species